rnacentral:rRNA from 1 species
GUCGAACGGGGAUGCUUAUGGAAGGAGUGCUUGCACUUUGGAAAUGAGCAUCUUAGUGGCGGACGGGUGAGUAACGCGUGGGUAACCUGCCCCAUACCGGGGGAUACCACCUGGAAACAGGUGCUAAUACCGCAUAAGCACACGGGAGCGCAUGCUCCUGUGUGAAAAACUCCGGUGGUAUGGGAUGGACCCGCGUCUGAUUAGCCAGUUGGCAGGGUAACGGCCUACCAAAGCGACGAUCAGUGGCCGGCCUGAGAGGGUGGACGGCCACAUUGGGACUGAGACACGGCCCAAACUCCUACGGGAGGCAGCAGUGGGGAAUAUUGCACAAUGGGGGAAACCCUGAUGCAGCGACGCCGCGUGAGUGAAGAAGUAUUUCGGUAUGUAAAGCUCUAUCAGCAGGAACGAGACAAGACGGUACCUGACUAAGAAGCCCCGGCUAACUACGUGCCAGCAGCCGCGGUAAUACGUAGGGGGCAAGCGUUAUCCGGAAUCACUGGGUGUAAAGGGAGCGUAGACGGCUGAGCAAGCCUGAAGUGAAAGGCGGGGGCCCAACCCCCGGACUGCUUUGGGAACUGUACGGCUGGAGUGCAGGAGAGGUAAGUGGAAUUCCUAGUGUAGCGGUGAAAUGCGUAGAUAUUAGGAGGAACACCAGUGGCGAAGGCGGCUUACUGGACUGUAACUGACGUUGAGGCUCGAAAGCGUGGGGAGCAAACAGGAUUAGAUACCCUGGUAGUCCACGCCGUAAACGAUGAUUACUAGGUGUCGGGGGGCAGAGGCCCUUCGGUGCCGCAGCAAACGCAAUAAGUAAUCCACCUGGGGAGUACGUCCGCA